rnacentral:rRNA from 1 species
AAUAUUGGCCAAUGGGCGACAGCCUGACCCAGCCAUGCGGCGUGAAGGAUGAAGGCCUUCGGGUCGUAAAAUGCAGUCAGUAGGGGCGAUGCGAUUUCGCUCUUGACUGUACCUCCAAAGGAAGCCCCGGUUAAUUCCGUGCCAGCAGCCGCGGUAAUACGGAGGGGGCAAGCGUUGUUCGGAUUUACUGGGCGUAAAGGGUCCGCAGGCGGUUAAGCAAGUUAGAUGUGAAAGCUCAAGGCUCAACCUGGAAAUCGCAUCUAAAACUCCUGGACUAGAGUCCAAGAGGGGCCGGCGGAAUUCCCGGUGUAGCGGUGAAAUGCGUAGAUAUCGGGAGGAGCACCAGUGGCGAAGGCGGCCGACUGGCUUGGAACUGACGCUCAGGGACGAAAGCGUGGGUAGCGAACCGGAUUAGAUACCCGGGUACUCCACGCCCAA